rnacentral:lncRNA from 1 species
GAAUAGAGUUUGGUGAGGGAAGAGUGGGGAGAGUCCUGGGCUCAUGCCUCUGGCUUUCACAGGCUUUGGAACUGGGAACAACAGGCCUCAUCCCCAACACUGCUGAGGAGCACAUCCACUAAUGAACAUCAAUCACUCCUGCAACUUCUCCAGUGCUGACUAUAGAUGCAAUGUGGUCGGCCUGCAGGCUCCAGUGGUCAUCAUCCCAGUAUUGCUGUCCUCUUCCACACUGAUUAUGGUUGGCUGCAUCGUAUGGAAGACAUGCAGGAGGUGGAGGACAACUGGCCAGUGCCCACCGCCCCAGUGACCGCUUUGUUGCAGGUGCCUGAGGAGAAAGUGUGGUGUUUUCCUGGAACCAUCUGCUCACUUCCCACCCAACUUGGGCCUAUCUACCACCAUCAACAUAUCAUGGCAGCGACACUCCCUUCUAUUUGAACCAACGACCCAAAUAUGAACCUGCAGGUAGAGACACAGACCUGAUAAUUCAAUAGCUGUCACCAUCUUCAUUUUCUACCUGGAAUGGUCAAGGCAAAAAAGUUAUAAAUAGCAGCCUAAAGGAUUGUUUUUCAUCCAUUCAUUCAACAAAUAUAUGCUGAGCAAGAUGAUCCAUAUACUUUUUCAUAAAACCCUCACCUUCCACCUUGGAAUCAGUACUGUGUAUUGGCUCCAAGGCAGAAGAGUGGUAAGGGCAAAGUAAGUAGCAAUGGGGGUCAAGAGACUUCCCAGGGUCACACAGCUGGGAAGUGUCUGAGGCCAGAUUUGAACCCAGGACCUCCUGUCUCGAGGCCAGGCUCUUAAUCCACUGGGCUACCCAGCUGCCCCUGGGCCAUAGACUUCUAUAUAGUAGGCUUUCAGCAAAUGUUUAUUGAGUUCAUGAAGGAUGUUAAACCAGAUUCUGAGUUUUUCCAUUACCAUCCAACACUCACAUGGCUCUCCAUCUUCUCUGCAUUUUUCCCCCUAGAGCAGUGUUGGUGGACCUAUGGGAUGUGUGCCAGAAGGGGCUGCUUCCUUACCCCUUUCCAAAUGUGCCUGAAG